rfam:Opisthorchis viverrini opera_v5_38.36, whole genome shotgun sequence.
GCCGGGAUGAACCUCGGUGGUCCGGGGUGCAGGCUUCAAACCUGUAGCCGGCUGACGCCGGAGCGGUUCGAUUCCGCCUUCUCGGC